rnacentral:rRNA from 1 species
AUUGAACGCUGGCGGCAGGCCUAGCACAUGCAAGUCGAGCGGAUGAAGGGAGCUUGCUCCCGGAUUCAGCGGCGGACGGGUGAGUAAUGCCUAGGAAUCUGCCUGGUAGUGGGGGAUAACGUCCGGAAACGGGCGCUAAUACCGCAUACGUCCUGAGGGAGAAAGUGGGGGAUCUUCGGACCUCACGCUAUCAGAUGAGCCUAGGUCGGAUUAGCUAGUUGGUGGGGUAAAGGCCUACCAAGGCGACGAUCCGUAACUGGUCUGAGAGGAUGAUCAGUCACACUGGAACUGAGACACGGUCCAGACCCCUACGGGAGGCAGCAGUGGGGAAUAUUGGACAAUGGGCGAAAGCCUGAUCCAGCCAUGCCGCGUGUGUGAAGAAGGUCUUCGGAUUGUAAAGCACUUUAAGUUGGGAGGAAGGGCAGUAAGUUAAUACCUUGCUGUUUUGACGUUACCAACAGAAUAAGCACCGGCUAACUUCGUG